rnacentral:ncRNA from 1 species
ACAAAAACGAAGCUCAGUCAAGUAUUUUGUUCGUGAUUCCCAGAGAGUUCUAGCUUGGUGCAAUAGAAUGUUUUGCGACAAAAGAAAAUCAACUGUAAGUUGCAAUUGCGAAAGGUUUAAUAGUGAUUGCUGGGAUUGCCCAUUAUCGCAAACGAGUAUCGUUAUUGAACUGUACUUAGAGCCGUUUUCUAAAGGAAACGGAAAGAUGGGUGGUAACACGUGUGAGAACGUCCCUGAU